GACAGAGGGGGGCAAGCGUUGCUCGGAAUUACUGGGCGUAAAGGGCGCGUAGGCGGGAUGGCAAGUCGGUCGUGAAAUCCCUCGGCUCAACCGAGGAACGUCGAUCGAUACUGCUGUUCUUGAGGAUUGCAGAGGAGACUGGAAUUCCCGGUGUAGCGGUGAAAUGUGUAGAGAUCGGGAGGAACACCGGUGGCGAAGGCGGGUCUCUGGGCAAUUCCUGACGCUGAGGCGCGAAAAGCGUGGGGGAGCAAACAGG
rnacentral:rRNA from 1 species